AGUCUCUUGAGAAAAAAAAUGCAUGGGAGGCCUUGUAACCUGAACUCCUUCGUCUCAUUUCCAAAGGCUGCCUCUUCUCCUGAGUGGCUUCACUUGGGAUUUAAAACCUGCAUGAAGUCAAGGCUCAGACCUGGCUUCCUUGGCUCCCACUCAGAUCAUAUGGCCAAGUGGGAGUGAUCAAGACUGUGGGCUCCUCACCUGAGGCCUGUUUCUGUUGCAUCCCAGCCAUCUCCUUGUUGCAGCUGCCCAUUACCCAAUACCAAGAAGAGAGGACUUCUCCCAGUGACACUCACCCAGUGUCACCUUUGUCCACAAAUAUCUAGUCUUGUGGAACAUGUGGAUUAAAA
rnacentral:lncRNA from 1 species